GAUGAACGCUGGCGGCGUGCCUAAUACAUGCAAGUCGAGCGAACAGAUAAGGAGCUUGCUCCUUUGACGUUAGCGGCGGACGGGUGAGUAACACGUGGGUAACCUACCUAUAAGACUGGGAUAACUUCGGGAAACCGGAGCUAAUACCGGAUAAUAUUUCGAACCGCAUGGUUCGAUAGUUAAAGAUGGUUUUGCUAUCACUUAUAGAUGGACCCGCGCCGUAUUAGCUAGUUGGUAAGGUAACGGCUUACCAAGGCGACGAUACGUAGCCGACCUGAGAGGGUGAUCGGCCACACUGGAACUGAGACACGGUCCAGACUCCUACGGGAGGCAGCAGUAGGGAAUCUUCCGCAAUGGGCGAAAGCCUGACGGAGCAACGCCGCGUGAGUGAUGAAGGUCUUCGGAUCGUAAAACUCUGUUAUUAGGGAAGAACAUACGUGUAAGUAACUGUGCACGUCUUGACGGUACCUAAUCAGAAAGCCACGGCUAACUACGU
rnacentral:rRNA from 1 species